rnacentral:rRNA from 1 species
ACGACGUGCGACGUGCUACACUGCAAGUCGAGCGGGGUUUAAGAGGAAGCUUGCGAAUCUUAGACCUAGUGGCGCACGGGUGAGUAACGCGUCGGAUAACCUGCCUGGUAGACCGGGAUAACGGCUGGAAACGGCUGCUAAUACCGGAUACGCUCUGGUGGACGCAUGUUCAGCAGAGGAAAGCUUUACUGCUAUCAUAUGGGUCCGCGUCCCAUUAGCUAGUUGGUGGUGUAAGAGACCACCAAGGCGACGAUGGGUAGCCGGCCUGAGAGGGCGACCGGCCACACUGGGACUGAGACACGGCCCAGACUCCUACGGGAGGCAGCAGUGGGGAAUCUUCCGCAAUGGGCGAAAGCCUGACGGAGGAGCGCCACGAGAGGGAAGAAUGCCUUCGGGUUGUAAACCUCUGUCUUCAAGGAAGAAGUAAUGACGGUACUUGGAGAGGAAGCCCCGGCUAGCUCGGUGCCGCGCUCCGCGGUAGAACGUACGGGGCGAGCGUUGUCCGGAAUUGCUGGGCGUAAAGGGCGCGUAGGUGGUACAUUAAGUCAGAGGUGAAAGAUCGUGGCUCAACCGCGAGAUUGCCUCUGAUACUGGUGGACUUGAGUGCAGGAUAGGGGAGCGGAAUUCCCCGUGUCCGGUGAAGGCCUAGAUCUUGUGAGGAACACCGGUGGCGAUGCUGCUCUCUGGACUGCACUGACACUGAUGCUCGAAAGCGUGGGGAGCAUACAGGAUUAGAUACCUUGGUAGUCCACGCCUUAAACGAUGAGUGCUGGAUGUUGGAGGUAUCGACUCCUGCAGUGUCGUAGUUAACACACUACGCACUCCCACUGGGGAGUACGGUGGCAACACUGAACCUCAGAGGUAUUGACGGGAGCCCGCACAUCGCUGGACUAUGUGGUUUCUUCUACCCACGCGGAGACCUUCCAGGCUUGACUCUCUGAUGGUCUGAGAUAGACUUCACCUUGAGAUACGACAACAGGUGUGAUGCUGCAGCAUU